AUACGGAGGAUCCGAGCGUUAUCCGGAUUUAUUGGGUUUAAAGGGUGCGCAGGCGGCCAUUUAAGUCAGCGGUUAAAUCGUGGGGCUCAACCCCAUUCUGCCGUUGAUACUGGGUGGCUUGAUUGCGGUCGAGGUUGGCGGACUUCGUUGUGUAGCGGUGAAAUGCAUAGAUAUGACGAAGAACACCGAUUGCGUAGGCAGCUGACCAGACCGCAAAUGACGCUCAUGCACGAAAGUGCGGGGAUCGAACAGGAUUAGAUACCCUGGUAGUCCGCACAGUAAACGAUGAAUACUUGUUUUCGGCGAUAUAAUGUCGGAGGCAAAGCGAAAGCGAUAAGUAUUCCACCUGGGGAGUACGCCGGCAACGGUGAAACUCAAAUGAAUUGACGGG
rnacentral:rRNA from 1 species